GAAGUAUUAACUCAUGGGCUGAUUGAAGAUUGUGUAAGAGCCAGUGGAGGACCGAACCGAUGGGCGUUGAAAAGCCAACGGAUGACCUGUGGAUAGGAGUGAAAGGCAAAUCAAACUUCGUGAUAGCUGGUUCUCUCCGAAAUAUAUUUAGGUAUAGCCUCUAGAAUCAGCAUAUAGAGGUAAAGCACUGAAUGGGAUAGGGCUGCUUACUGCGAUACCUAACCCUAUCAAACACCGAAUUCUAUAUGUGGAAUCUAGAGAGUCAGGCGUAGGGUGUUUAAAUCCUAUGUCGAGUGGGGAACAACCCAAACGAACAGCU
rnacentral:rRNA from 2 species